rnacentral:rRNA from 1 species
GAUGAACGCUAGCUACAGGCUUAACACAUGCAAGUCGAGGGGAAACGACAUCGAAAGCUUGCUUUUGAUGGGCGUCGACCGGCGCACGGGUGAGUAACGCGUAUCCAACCUGCCCAUCACUUGGGAAUAACCUUGCGAAAGUAAGACUAAUACCCAAUGAUAUCCCACGAAGGCAUCGGAAUGGGAUUAAAGAUUUAUCGGUGAUGGAUGGGGAUGCGUCUGAUUAGCUUGUUGGCGGGGUAACGGCCCACCAAGGCAACGAUCAGUAGGGGUUCUGAGAGGAAGGUCCCCCACAUUGGAACUGAGACACGGUCCAAACUCCUACGGGAGGCAGCAGUGAGGAAUAUUGGUCAAUGGGCGAGAGCCUGAACCAGCCAAGUAGCGUGCAGGAAGACGGCCCUAUGGGUUGUAAACUGCUUUUAUAAGGGAAUAAAGUGGGUCACGUGUGACUUUUUGCACGUACCUUAUGAAUAAGGACCGGCUAAUUCCGUG